rnacentral:rRNA from 1 species
UUCCGGUUGAUCCUGCCGGAGGCCACUGCUAUUGGGAUCCGACUAAGCCAUGCGAGUCGAGAGGGUUCGGCCCUCGGCAGACUGCUCAGUAACACGUGGAUAACCUAACCUUAGGUGGAAGAUAACCUCGGGAAACUGAGAAUAAUAUUCCAUAGAUCUAGGAUGCUGGAAUGCAUCUAGAUUGAAAGUUCCGACGCCUAAGGAUGGGUCUGCGGACUAUCAGGUUGUAGUCAGGGUAAAGACCUGACUAGCCUACGACGGAUAUGGGUUGUGAGAGCAAUAGCCCAGAGACGAUAUCUGAGACACGAUAUCGGGCCCUACGGGGCGCAGCAGGCGCGAAAUCUUCACAAUGUGCGAAAGCACGAUGAGGGGAUCCCAAGUGCUGGCACGUAAGUGUCAGCUGUUUCUUAGUCUAAAAAACUGAGAGAGUAAGGGCUGGGUAAGACGGGUGCCAGCCGCCGCGGUAAUACCUGCAGCUCAAGUGGUGGCCGCUAUUAUCGGGCCUAAAACGUCCGUAGCCUGUUUAGUAAAUGCUUGGGUAAAUUGUGUAGCUUAACUAUAGGAAUACCGGGUAGACUGCUAAACUCGGGACCGGGAGAGGCUAGAGGUACUCCUGGGGUAGAGGUGAAAUUCUGUAAUCCUAGGGGGACCACCAGUGGCGAAGGCGUCUAGCUAGAACGGGUCUGACGGUGAGGGACGAAGCCCUGGGGCGCAAACCGGAUUAGAUACCCGGGUAGUCCAGGUGUAAACGCUGCUUGCUUGAUGUUAGUUGGGCUCCGAGCCCAACUAGUGUCGGAGAGAAGUUGUUAAGCAAGCUGCCUGGGAAGUACGGUCGCAAGACUGAAACUUAAAGGAAUUGGCGGGGGAGCACAGCAACGGGUGGAGCGUGCGGUUUAAUUGGAUUCAACGCCGG